AUUUGUGUUGCGAUACAGUAGUGGAUAUCAGUUGGGAUUGACCGAUCGGAAUCAUAAUAUAUUUAGGCGAAGAAAAAAAAGUAGUAAUAUAAGUUUACAUCUGAAAGCCAACGAGAAAACGUUGCACACUGAAUAAAAAUUUACACCAAAUUAACUAAUAGAUGUGAUUGAGUUGCUUAAUGUUGAUGUUUAAUCAAAGCACACUUCACAAAGCCAGCAGCAGCAUAGGGCGAAGAGGCUGCAGAAACAGAGCAAAAUCUGGAGUCAGUAGAAAGUCCAUACUCCGGAAGAAUACUCAUGAUGGAAGUUGGCAUUUCGUAACGAGUUCAUUAAUUAGGUAAAUGAUUGUUGUGUUAACUAUUUAUUUUAAUGUUUUUUGUAUUUAUGUAUGAAUAUGAAGUAAAAAAGAAUCCUUACCAUCCCUCGAUGAAGCCUCUAUCUCCUUUUGCCUUUGUUCUUGGCAAACAUUUCAUUCUCUUUUUCCCACUUGGAGGAGGAUUCUCACUUGGGUAACCUGCACUUCAAAAUAUUUAUUCAACAAGUCUAUUUGUGUGUGUGUGUGUGUGUGUGUGUGUGCUCUAGAGAGAGAGAGAGAGAGAGAGAGAGAGAGAGAGACCUGGAGGAGGGUGGUUGGCUUGGUUUUGCAUUUUGGAAGAACAGCACAAAGGUACAGUAGUCUACAAGAGAAACACUGUUGGCAAAAACAGUAUAUAAUGCUUUAUUAAGAAAGGCAGGUACACAUAUUUAUAUAGGGGCAAAAAAGAAGUUGCUUACAAAGUGUUGAGGAAUAAACUUGUUGGUUGAUUAGAGUUUGCUUGCACCAUUAUUUUUGGAUUAACCAACGGUACACAUGCUGAUUCUUGAUUGGUUGAACUACGAUAAACCACGUGUUAUUACGAUGUAUUAGUCGAUAAUGGCCAGAUUACGUGAUAACCUUUACCUAGUCUGGAUUAUUCUUGAAAUGAACCUUGUAUACUACAUUCUUGAAUAUUUUACUUUGUAGUGUGAAUGGAACAACGUGC
rnacentral:lncRNA from 1 species